UGCUGCCCGGCGCUUUGCCGUCUCCCAGGGCUCACCAAGUCCAAAUGUUCCCUGAUGGAGUCCAACUCCAGCUUGACCAACACUCACCCGGUCUGUCCCCGCACCAGCUGGCUUAGGGCUCCCCAGCAGUGCUGGCUGUCGGUGCCUUCUGUCGCUCCCAGUCAGCACGGCUCUGUUCUUUGCUUUUUGGGUUCCAGAGCGUUUGCUACAGGUUAUGGAGUGUUUCUCUUCUCUCUCUUCUUGUCCUCCAUGUUGCCUGUUGGCGCCUCGGUGGAGUUUCAGUGACCCAAAUGCAGACUGCUCUGCGUUGCCCAAGCGUGAUGCCAAGAGAAGAGGAUAGGAGACUCUGCCGUCAGAUGGCGUUGCCUGUUCUUCUCUCCCCAGUUUGCAGAGUUGGAUGUGACCUCAGCACUGGAUAAGGGGUAAGUGAUUCCUCCAUCCUGACCAGAAGGUAAUCUCUACUUGUCUUGUGCUGUGUGGAACAGGUUGCAGUGGAGAAGUGCAGUUGUCCGGGGCGCUGCAAGGACUCUAUUGAGGCAUUUGGUGGACGCCGCAGGAACCCACAGCCAGAGGUGGAUGCCAAGAUGCACAUCUUCCUCUGUCUGGCAAGCUCUGCUGACCCCUGAGGUUUUUCCCACGCUUGCAGAGGAUGGAAAUGUACACCUGGUUGGAUCUACGAUGACCCAAAUGCAAUCUAGUAAGGUUUGGCCAAGUGUGGUGGGAAAGGAAGAUGUAGGCUCCUAAGCAAACUUCUGGAUUGGGGACACCAGCACCAGAUGCUCUUGCACUUCCUGACCUCCCUGGGUGGCAGCAUUGGAAGUGCCUGGACCCUUGGAAAGGGCUAAGUGAUUCCUUCAUCAUUACCAGAAUGUAGUUUGUGUUCAGCAGGUGACGAUGGAGAACUGUGGCCUUCUGUUCAGCGCAAAAAGUCUACUGAGGAUCUAGGUGGACAGAACAGGAACGCAGAGCAAUAGUUGGAUGCCAAUAUGCACAUCUUCCUCUGUCUGGCAAGCUCUGCUGACCCCUGAGGUCGUUUCCAUGCUUGCAGAGGUCCUAUCUGCUUGGUGUCGGUUGUGUCUUGUGUUCACUUGGCUUUCACCGGGUGUUGUUGCCUUAUAAUAUUUUCCCAACCUGUUUCCAAGCAGGAGGUCCCCUUGGCCUCCAUGUCUCGCUCUGGCCAGGCAGAUGUGGUGCGCCAACGGUAUGCAGAGUCCAGACCCUGAGCAGAACAACUGAGGAGAGAGGCUGCCCUGGGUGAGACAGGAGAAGUGCCCCUUGAAGCGGGGGACGCCCCGCUGGCGCUGCCUCUCGCAUCCACCGGCAGCCAGCACGUUCCUUCU